GCCAACAUAGUGUAGUGGCUUGAGUAUUAGACUAUGAUUCUAGAGACCAAGGUUCGAUUCCCUGCUCUGCCA